CCAAGCUGGCCUGAUUUGCAUAACAGGCAGCUGUCCCCAACAAGGAAAUAAAAGAGGCCUGGGGGGAACACAGGCCAGCCUGGGACUCAAGAAGCAGCUACAGGGACACCAUGACUUGGAAGGCUCUUCUCCUCAGCCUCCUGGCUCAUUACACAGGCUCUGUAGCCACUUAUGUGCUGACUCAGCCAUCGUCAGUAUCAGUGACCCCUGGACAAGUGGCCAGAAUCACCUGUGAAGGCAAUAAUAUUGGCAGCUAUAGUGUGUACUGGUAUCAGCAGAAGCCAGCACAGUCCCCGCUGCUCAUCAUCUACAAUGAUAAUAACCGGCCCUCAGGGAUCCCUGACCGAUUCACUGGCUCCAACUCUGGGAACACAGCCACCCUGACCAUCAGUGGGACCCAAGCUGGAGAUGAGGCUGACUAUUACUGUCAGGUGUGGGAUGGCAAUGAUGCUCACAGUGACUCGAGCAGACAGGGAAGUGAGACAAAAACCUACCAUCAGCUUGGCACCAAAGACCUCUUCCUGCCCUGGUUACCCUGA